AUUAGGAAAAGUUUCUCCAGUUCAUCGUCUGUGUUACUUCAACAUACCUGAUGUGGAGAAGAGACUUGAGCCACAGUUUCUUACAUCGAAGGGUGAAGACUACAGAUCCAAAAGAGAGUUGAGUGUGAUGACAGAGCGCCCAACUGAAAUGAGAUGCCACGUGAGAAUUCAGAGUGAUGAGAACUGGACGAGCGCAAAGUGACCCAAUGAGAAGCAGGAUGGAGUGAGGCACCUAAAGUAUCAGUCUGGCAUAGGAUGAGCAUUACACCACUGUACCAGAAGUGAAGCCAGAAUAUGACAAAAGUAGUAUAAGCAUCCUGCAGAUCAAUACAUGCCUGUGCAGGUGGUGUCACCAAAAGGGAUUCAGCUUCUUUGACCAUGGGAUGUUGUUCCAAAAAGAAGGAUUGCUAGGAAGUGA
rnacentral:lncRNA from 1 species